CCGAUAACACAAAAACCUAUAUUCAUAGACGCAUCCUAUUACGAUAUGCCCUACCCACAAUAUCAACCUUCUCCAACUAACUAUGACCCAACUUUUUAAAAGAGAUUUCAGCUAGCAUUCGACAAGCUAGAACUUAGCCAUCAAACCCUUCACACUUCUAUGCAAUCCUUAAAAGAACUAGAGAAGCUAGCACUCACACUCAGUCGGGAGGAGGAAAGAAAGUUGCCUAGUCAGUCCGAGAAUGACUUUGAGGGACCAUACCUGACUAGAAAUUUUAAUAUUCUGGUAAUUUUUUCUGAACAGUCGAUUAUGACACUCGAAAAUGAAAUGGUCAUAGAACAAUCCUGCUUAACCAAAAGGACCAACUUAGAUAAUUUGACUAAGAUUGAAAUAUAUAAAAAAGAAUUAGAAUGGUAGGAUGAACCAAUUCUAUCAUCAUCUUACCUACCUAUGGUCCCAUUCCCAAGUAUCUUAGAAUUUCUAAUUCCAUCUAACGGGAAGGG
rnacentral:lncRNA from 1 species